UGCAACUGUAGAUGACAUCGCUGAUGAUAACAUUGAUGAUACAGUUGCAUCUUGUGAACGGAAGUCUGAAAAUGUGAGACCAACACGGAAAAGAUGCAGGAGUUUUGGUUAUGUAGAAAAAUGUGACGAGUUUGACUUUGAUGAUUCAGAUUUAGAUCCAGAUUAUGAUGAUGUGGGUCCAAAGAAGAAAUGGAGUGACAAAGAAAAAUCAGAGUUGAGUGAGCUGGUAUCGAAGUCAGUUGUCAACAAAAAGCCACCCAAAAAGGCUGAAGUGCAGAAAUUACAAGCGCAUAGCAGUGUGCUGAAAUCCAUCAAAUGGAAAAAAAUAAAACACCAAGUGUGGGCAA
rnacentral:lncRNA from 1 species